AUUGAACGCUGGCGGCAGGCCUAACACAUGCAAGUCGAGCGGAUGAGUGGAGCUUGCUCCAUGAUUCAGCGGCGGACGGGUGAGUAAUGCCUAGGAAUCUGCCUGGUAGUGGGGGACAACGUUUCGAAAGGAACGCUAAUACCGCAUACGUCCUACGGGAGAAAGUGGGGGAUCUUCGGACCUCACGCUAUCAGAUGAGCCUAGGUCGGAUUAGCUAGUUGGUGAGGUAAAGGCUCACCAAGGCGACGAUCCGUAACUGGUCUGAGCGGAUGAUCAGUCACACUGGAACUGAGACACGGUCCAGACUCCUACGGGAGGCAGCAGUGGGGAAUAUUGGACAAUGGGCGAAAGCCUGAUCCAGCCAUGCCGCGUGUGUGAAGAAGGUCUUCGGAUUGUAAAGCACUUUAAGUUGGGAGGAAGGGCAGUAAGUUAAAACCUUGCUGUUUUGACGUUACCAACAGAAUAAGCACCGGCUAACUUCGUGCCAGCCGCCGCCGUAAUAC
rnacentral:rRNA from 1 species